UUGUAUGUUUACAUACAGUGGUAGAGGAGCGUUCUUAUUGGAAUGAAGCAUUACCGUAAGGAGAUGUGGACUUAUAAGAAGUGAGAAUCCUGGCAUGAGUAGCGAUAAAAAUGGUGAGAAUCCAUUUCACCGUAAGCGUAAGGGUUCCUGGGCAAGGCUCGUCCUCCCAGGGUUAGUCGGGACCUAAGGCGAGGCCGAAAGGCGUAGUCGAUGGAAAACAGGUUAAUAUUCCUGUACCACCUAUUAGGAGUGAUGGGGUGACGGAGAAGGAUAGAUCAGCCGUGUGUUGGAUUACACGGUUCAAGCUUGUAGGAUUAAGAGAUUGGCAAAUCCGUCUCUUUUUAAGUCCGAGAAGUGAGUACGAGAGGCCCUAGGCCUCAUAAAGUGAUUGAUUCCAUGCUUCCUAGAAAAACCUCUAAAUUUUGAUUAACAGGUGCUCGUACUGUAAACGGACACACGUACGCGGGUAGAGUAUACCAAGGUGUUUGAGAUAAUUAUGGCCAAGGAACUCGGCAAAAUAGCUCCGUAACUUCGGGAUAAGGAGUGCCUAUGUUAGGUGAAGGAUCUUGCAUCUGGAGCUGAGAUAGGUGACACUGAAAUGAUGGAAGCGACUGUUUACCAAAAACACAGGCCUGUGCUAACCCGCAAGGGGAUGUAUACGGGCUGACGCCUGCCCGGUGCUGGACGGUUAAGGGGAUGGGUUAUCCUUCGGGAGAAGCUUAGAACCGAAGCCCCAGUAAACGGCGGCCGUAACUAUAACGGUCCUAAGGUAGCGAAAUUCCUUGUCGUCUAAUUAGCGACCCGCAUGAAUGGCGUAACGACUUCUGUACUGUCUCGGCCAUAAUCUCAGCGAAAUUGUAGUGCUGGUGAAGAUGCCAGCUUCCCGUUGUGGGACGGAAAGACCCCGUGCACCUUUACUAUAACCUAGCACUGGAUUUUGAUGUUAAAUGCGUAGGAUAGGUGGGAGACUAUGAAAGUUUAAUUUUGGUUAAGCUGGAGUCGUUGGUGAAAUACCACCCUUUUGAUGUUAGGAUUCUAACUUAAAUCCGUUAUCCGGAUUGAGGACAAUGUUAGGCGGGUAGUUUGACUGGGGCGGUUGACUCCUAAAGAGUAACGGAGUCGCUCAAAGGUUCUCUCAGCCUGAUUGGAAACCAGGCGUCGAGUGUAAUGGCACAAGAGAGCUUGACUGUGAGAUUGACAAAUCGAGCAGGUACGAAAGUAGGACAUAGUGACCCGGUGGCUUCCAUGUGGGAGGGCCAUCGAUCAUCGGAUAAAAGGUACGCCGGGGAUAACAGAUUAAUCGCGCCCAAGAGUUCACAUCGACGGCGCGGAUUGAUACCUCGAUGUCGGCUCAUCGCAUCCCGG
rnacentral:rRNA from 1 species